GUUCAGGCUCUGUCUGGUUCCAGACCUGAGGGAACACAAAGAGGACCCUUAGGAUGGUACAAGGCAGGGGUCCCCAGCUCACCUGCCCAGGGGGCCAGGCAACUUUUUGGAUCUUUAACAUUUACACAAAAAUGUACCAAGUACUCUUUGGAAUACCUACUAAUUCUCAAUUCCUUUCAUCCUGACAUUAACCCUAGGUAGUUGCAAUUAUAUUGAUUUGCAGAUGAAGAAGCUGAGGACCAGAGAGGUUGAGUAACUUUGCUGACUUUACCCAGCUGAGGAGUGGAAGGGCUGGGAUUUGAACCCAGGGAACUGGGCCAUGUGGUCUAGGAGACCUGGGCUCCAUAAUCAUUGCUAGGCAUGGACUGUCAGUUAAUCCUUAUAACAACUCCAGGACGCAGACAGUACUGUCUCCAUUUCAGAAACCAGCAGACUGAGGCACCAGUCGGGGAACUGCCUCCCCCAGGGACACACAAAUGGGAAGUGGCAAAGCUGACUCUGACCCAGGCUUAUCUGACCCCAAACCUCGUUCGACUGGUGGUCUUGAUGUAUGAUUUGUUUUUAUUUUUUAUUAUUAAUUAAUUUAUGUUUUAGAGACAGGGUCUCACUCUGUUGCCCAGGCUGAAGUGGCACAAUCAAAGCUCAACAAAGCUUCGAAUUUCCUGGGCUCAAGCAAUCCUCCCACCUCGGCCUCCCAGAGUGCUGGGAUUACAGGCAUAAGCAGCCUCACCAGGCCUGGCUAAUUUUUUUUUUUUAUGUUUUGUAGAGAUGGGGGUCUCUCUAUGCUGGUCUCGAACUCCUGGUCUCAAGCAAUCCUCCUGCCUCAGCCUCCUAGGUACUGGGAUUACAGGCAAGAGCCACCGGCCCAGCUUGAUCUGUUAUUUUCAUCUCAGCAGGUCUGCUGGUCCUAUCUAACCCUAGAAGAAAUUUGAAGUUUAGUGGACGUGGCCUCUUCAAUUCUCUCUCCGCUGUCUUUUUACUCCUCCUGGUUUCACAACUCACCGGCUGUGCAAACUUUAACCUCUCUGUAUCUCAGUUUCCUUCCCUGUAAAAGGGGGAAAACGAGACUCUACCUCUAUGAGUUGUAUUAAAUGGAUUAAUAGCAGCAAAGUUCAUAGCAGCAUGGCACAAGGUUGGGCACAAGGCUAGGCACAGAGAAAGCCCUCAGUUCAUUGCCAGUUUAUUGCUUCAACUCCCUGGCCCUCGAAAUGCUGGCAGUUUGCAACCCCCACCCCCACUCCAUGAACUCCACUCCCUGGAGUCCUUUGCUAAGAGCAAUGGAAAAAGAAACCAGAGAGGUAAGGGCUCUCCGGGGGUAGGAGGGCUUGGGGGACCCACUAGCUUUAUGCAAAGAAGAGUCAAAGCCCCUAGUAGCUGGGAGGUCUGGUGGCCCCUUAAAUAGAGCUGGGCUCUCGGCUGCUGGCUUGGUGAAAGAAAUCCAACCCGCUGCAGUGAGGGGGCCGGAGUAAGUCUCCUCGCUUCCCGGGUCCAGGAAUUUGGGGGUCUCUCCUCUCCCCAGUAUCGCAGCCCGAGAGAUCUGCAGCCAAACCAAGCCUGGAAAAGGAGAGUGGGGCGCGAUGGGGGGCACUCACCCCCUGCCCCGCGCAGGGCUCAGCAGGCGCGGCCAUCGGCGCCUUCUGUCGUCGUGGGUCCCAGCGUCUGUCUGUCGCUAAGUCUCUGGGCAGACUGCUCGGCCGCGAUCCUGCCGGAGAAGAGGCGGGGCUGGGCUGGUCGGGCUGGGCUGGUCCGGCUGGGAUUCGAGCUCCGGGAUCGGGAGGCCCCGGGCAAGGUCCAGCUGCGCGGCGGGAGUGAGGCCACGGGAGUUCCCUCUUCCCCCUGCAACAAGAAUCACUCCAGACUUCCUAAACACUUUGGACCCAGCAAUUUCCAGGAGUUCAUCCUGAUGAGAGAACUGAAAGGUGUGCACACGUUAGUAACAAGGAGGCCUGGUGACCGCCUAAGCGUCCAAUCGCGGGGACCACCGGGUCGAGGCCGAGAGGAUGGAGACCGCGUCACAGGCACCUCGCUGCUGGAAUGGAGGGUGGUGGGGAGAACUUAGAAGAUUAUGCAAUGGGCUGGCAGGGCUAUACCCAGCCGCCCUGGUAAGCAGAAACUCAAGAAACCUCUAGGGUCCUGUUUUCUGGUCGUAUGAUCCCAGGAGUGCACAUGGGCCCCUCGGGUGUCUGAACAGAAGGGCAUAGGAGGGAGGGCCGCAGCCCUGCAGUCUUACUCUGCUGGUGUAGCGGUCACCUGCCAACUCCCACCCCACCCUGCACCGCGGGCUCCUGAGUCGGCAGAUUAAGCAUUUUAUAAAUUCUAUUUUAAAUACGUGUUUUAAACUUGUCAGAUAUUUGUCUUCAUUUCAGUCCCUGCGCCUCUACCUCUUGCUGUGGUCGCUUAUUUAACACUGGGGGGCUACGUUCUGCUAAGUCCCAGGGAGAGACUGUUCCUAAUAUCCGAGGGAGAUAUUAUUCCUAAUAUCACGCUGGGUGAACACCACGUGUGUACAGCCUCUGAUACGAUUGGUAAUAUCCAAGGGAGAUAUUAUCCUAACAUCCCAGUGGGUGAACACCAUGUGUGUAAACGCUGUGGUAUUAUUAGAAAUAUCCAAGGGAGAUAUUACUCCUAAUAUCACAGUG
rnacentral:lncRNA from 1 species